rnacentral:rRNA from 1 species
GACGAACGCUGGCGGCGUGCUUAACACAUGCAAGUCGAACGGAAAGGCCCUGCUUUUGUGGGGUGCUCGAGUGGCGAACGGGUGAGUAACACGUGAGUAACCUGCCCUUGACUUUGGGAUAACUUCAGGAAACUGGGGCUAAUACCGGAUAGGAGCUCCUGCUGCAUGGUGGGGGUUGGAAAGUUUCGGCGGUUGGGGAUGGACUCGCGGCUUAUCAGCUUGUUGGUGGGGUAGUGGCUUACCAAGGCUUUGACGGGUAGCCGGCCUGAGAGGGUGACCGGCCACAUGGGGACUGAGAGACGGCCCAGACUCCUACGGUAGGCAGCAGUGGGGAAUAUUGCGCAAUGGGCGGAAGCCUGAUGCAGCAACGCCGCGUGCGGGAUGACGGCCUUCGGGUUGUAAACCGCUGUCGCCGGUGACGAAGCGUGAGUGACGGUAAUGGGUAAGGAAGCACCGGCUAACUACGUG